UACGGGGGGAGCAAGCGUUGUUCGGAUUUACUGGGCGUAAAGGGCGCGUAGGCGGUAGCACAAGUCAGUUGUGAAAUCUCCGGGCUUAACUCGGAAAGGUCAACUGAUACUGUGCGACUAGAGUGCAGAAGGGGCAACUGGAAUUCUCGGUGUAGCGGUGAAAUGCGUAGAUAUCAGGAAGAACACCGACGGCGAAGGCAGCUCGCUGGGACGGUACUGACGCUGAGGCGCGAAAGCGUGGGGAGCGAACAGG
rnacentral:rRNA from 1 species